AUACAGAGGGUGCAAGCGUUAAUCGGAUUUACUGGGCGUAAAGCGCGCGUAGGUGGCUAAUUAAGUCAAAUGUGAAAUCCCCGAGCUUAACUUGGGAAUUGCAUUCGAUACUGGUUAGCUAGAGUAUGGGAGAGGAUGGUAGAAUUCCAGGUGUAGCGGUGAAAUGCGUAGAGAUCUGGAGGAAUACCGAUGGCGAAGGCAGCCAUCUGGCCUAAGACUGACACUGAGGUGCGAAAGCAUGGGGAGCAAACAUGAUUAGAUACCCUGGUAGUCCAUGCCGUAAACGAUGUCUACUAGCCGUUGGGGCCCUUGAGGCUUUAGUGGCGCAGCUAACGCGAUAAGUAGACCGCCUGGGGAGUACGGUCGCAAGACUAAAACUCAAAUGAAUUGACGGGG
rnacentral:rRNA from 1 species